rnacentral:lncRNA from 1 species
UGAAAUUCCCUUCAACCUACCAACUACUAUGAUUAAAGUAUGUAGGAGGUAGCUUCAUGUGCAAAACCAACUCUACCAUAUGGGAUGUUCCUCACUCUAGUAUUCAAAGAGUUUGGAGUCAACUUAGAUGGUGAACCUUCAAAGAAGCUAUAGUAUUUUGACACAUACAAUGACUAGUCACAAAGCAAAAAGGGUUCCAUCAAAGUUGAUGGCGAUCAGAAAAGGAGGGGCA